UACGGAGGAUCCGAGCGUUAUCCGGAUUUAUUGGGUUUAAAGGGUGCGCAGGCGGGAUGUUAAGUCGGCGGUGAAAUUUUGCAGCUCAACUGUAAAAGUGCCUUCGAUACUGGCUUUCUUGAGUGUGGAUGAAGUAGGCGGAAUUUGUGGUGUAGCGGUGAAAUGCAUAGACAUCACGAGGAACUCCGAUUGCGCAGGCAGCUUACUAAACUACUACUGACGCUCAGGCACGAAGGCGUGGGGAUCAAACAGGAUUAGAUACCCG
rnacentral:rRNA from 1 species